ACGGGUGAGUAAUGCUUAGGAAUCUGCCUAUUAGUGGGGGACAACAUUCCGAAAGGAAUGCUAAUACCGCAUACGUCCUACGGGAGAAAGCAGGGGAUCUUCGGACCUUGCGCUAAUAGAUGAGCCUAAGUCGGAUUAGCUAGUUGGUGGGGUAAAGGCCUACCAAGGCGACGAUCUGUAGCGGGUCUGAGAGGAUGAUCCGCCACACUGGGACUGAGACACGGCCCAGACUCCUACGGGAGGCAGCAGUGGGGAAUAUUGGACAAUGGGGGGAACCCUGAUCCAGCCAUGCCGCGUGUGUGAAGAAGGCCUUAUGGUUGUAAAGCACUUUAAGCGAGGAGGAGGCUACUGAGACUAAUACUCUUGGAUAGUGGACGUUACUCGCAGAAUAAGCACCGGCUAACUCUGUGCCAGCAGCCGCGGUAAUACAGAGGGUGCGAGCGUUAAUCGGAUUUACUGGGCGUAAAGCGUGCGUAGGCGGCUUUUUAAGUCGGAUGUGAAAUCCCCGAGCUUAACUUGGGAAUUGCAUUCGAUACUGGGAAGCUAGAGUAUGGGAGAGGAUGGUAGAAUUCCAGGUGUAGCGGUGAAAUGCGUAGAGAUCUGGAGGAAUACCGAUGGCGAAGGCAGCCAUCUGGCCUAAUACUGACGCUGAGGUACGAAAGCAUGGGGAGCAAACAGGAUUAGAUACCCU
rnacentral:rRNA from 1 species